rnacentral:misc_RNA from 1 species
GAUGAAGAACGUAGCGAAAUGCGAUAAGUAGUGUGAAUUGCAGAAUUCAGUGAAUCAUCGAAUCUUUGAACGCACAUUGCGCCCCUUGGUAUUCCAUGGGGCAUGUCUGUUCGAGCGUCAUCUACACCCUCAAGCUCUGCUUGGUGUUGGGCGUCUGUCCCGCCUCUGCGCGCGGACUCGCCCCAAAUUCAUUGGCAGCGGUCCUUGCCUCCUCUCGCGCAGCACAUUGCGCUUCUCGAGGUGCGCGGCCCGCGUCCACGAAGCAACAUUACCGUCUUUGACCUCGGAUCAGGUAGGGAUACCCGCUGAACUUAAGCAUAUCAAUAAGCGGAGGA